ACAUGUCUACAUCAUAGCGUUAAUGCAUUUAAUCCCAAUAGAACUCUGUAGUUAAGCACGCUCAGGCUAGAGUAUUACUGGGAUGGGUGACUGCCCGAGAAGUCCUAGUGUUUUACAUGCC
rnacentral:rRNA from 1 species